rnacentral:rRNA from 1 species
UACGAAGGGGGCUAGCGUUGCUCGGAAUCACUGGGCGUAAAGCGCACGUAGGCGGAUUGCUAAGUCAGGGGUGAAAUCCUGGAGCUCAACUCCAGAACUGCCUUUGAUACUGGUGAUCUUGAGUCCGGGAGGGGUGAGUGGAACUGCGAGUGUAGAGGUGAAAUUCGUAGAUAUUCGCGAGAACACCAGUUGCGAAGGCGGCUGACUGGACACAUAUUGACGCUGAGGCUCGAAAGCAUGGGGAGCAAACAGG